rnacentral:lncRNA from 1 species
CAUGACUUCUAUUUCUGAAAGUACAAUCUACAACCCAUACUCUUUCAGUCAACUCUGGAGCUCAUUCAUCCCCAUGUGGGAUCUGGUUUGAGCUUGGCAGCCAGGAAUCUGCACCAGGCAAGGGGCAGGAGUGCCCAGAUAUGCUCUCCAUCUCCUUCUCACCUGGCCAUCCUUCCUAUGUCUCUACUGCAGCCUUCUAUUCCUUCUGUUCUCCAGGUUACCUGCCUGGUUCACCCAGACUCAUGAGUUAGGAGUGCCAAGCCCUUCCCAGCUGCCUCCUCCCAGGGAUUACCCAAGGCUCCUGUCCCCAGAUGUAUGCAUGGGAGCCACCAAGUACUGUUCCUCCCAAGUCUGUGUACUGCCCACCCCUUGUGUUUCUGUUGUCCUGUAGCCCACCUUCCACAUGGUCCUCUUGGGUAGAGAUGUUAGUGAAUCAGGGCAGAAUCUUCUCUGCUUCUUUGUACCUAAGGAAAUCUGUUUGCAGUCAUCCUGUGCCCCUGCCCUGAAGCAGCAGCGUCAGGCUCUGUGCUUGGUUCAGCAGUCCUCUACUUUACCACAGCCUGAGGAUCAUGUGAUUUAUGGUCAAUAGGGGCUUAUCCUCCCCACUGGUGGCUGUGGAGGGUAGGACAUCUUGUUCAUGUGUCCAUUUAAUGGGGAGAAGGCUCAGUGGGUGGGGUCAGAGUGGGAUUCAAGUUCUCUCCCCGGUCUCAGCCCAGGUUGCUCUCCACAGCUGCCACAAGCCACUGGCUCUUCCCUCUCACUUCUGCCCAUGACCUGCUGGCCUUAUGAUAACUGAGACAGGAAUGCUGUCAGGGUACGCCUUUGAAGACGACUGUAGUGACCAUGGUGAUGAACUCAGGGGAGAUGCAGAUGCAGCUGUGGAUUGAGGUAUUGUUGUCCCAGAUCAUUGUAUGGGAAAGGGACCCUCAAACACAAGAAGAACACUCUCUUAGCUCCUGCUUCCCUUGGAAAUAUUAUUUAUCACAUAACCAGAGGGCCAUACUUUCCCAGUAGGUCCUUUAAAAAAAUUGAUUAAACAAAAGCUAUAAAGGGAUAUGUAUAUUCUCAAAUACCUCAUUCCUUGAAAUGUAUAAACAAUCGUCACAAUGUGAGGUUCUCUUACUGUGACCUCAAGGACUAGAGAACACAGGAGAGAAUUAUUUAUUUAUCCUGGGAGGAUGAGGAAGAGAUAAUGGCAGGUGAUAUUUGUGUCCACCCAUGAAGGAUGACUGGCUCUUGGCUGGGGGAAGCAGGUACACCAGGUAGAGGAAUGUGCCAGAUAGAAGGCCUGGAGGCAGGACAGCGGGGGCUGGUGGGUAGACAAGGGACGCUCAACCAUGGGGUAUUGGGAAGGAAGAGAUGGUGGUGGUGAAACAGGGCAGGGAGGGGAUCUGGGAGAUCCCAGGGCAGUUGUGAACCUGGGACAAAAUCUAUGAGAGAAACAAGCUCUUUGUGCCUCAGUGGUGCAUGCAGAUCCACACGGUGCAUGCCUGACACACUCGCUCAAAUAUGCACACUCAGAGUGAGGAGAGCUGAGGUCACCUCAGAUAUGCCGCCAACUCGUUUUCUGUCCUUUGGUCCCUGUCAUCUCUGAAUUUUCUCGGAAGGAGUCAGGAGCCUUUUCCAGUUUGUUUUUGUUCCCGUGAUCCUCCCUUGAGACCUUCCAGAAACACAGCCCAUCCUCCUGUGCUCUCCAAUUUCCCCUCUAUUCCUGAAGCAUGAUCUGGCCCAGGAUGAGAGAGCACUCUCCAUGGAGGCCACUGUGUUGUGGCAUUCUCUUCUUGGCCUGGGAGCCAGGAGAAACUUCCCCCUUCGUCCGAAUUCCUGACAAAUCCUUGUCACCCAUAGGCUUCCAAGUCUUCCA